UACGUAGGGUGCAAGCGUUGUCCGGAAUUAUUGGGCGUAAAGAGCUCGUAGGCGGUUUGUCGCGUCCGCUGUGAAAACUCGGGGCUUAACCCCGAGCCUGCAGUGGAUACGGGCAGACUAGAGGUAGGUAGGGGAGAAUGGAAUUCCCGGUGUAGCGGUGAAAAUGCGCAGAUAUCGGGAGGAACACCGGUGGCGAAGGCGGUUCUCUGGGCCUUACCUGACGCUGAGGAGCGAAAGCGUGGGGAGCGAACAGG
rnacentral:rRNA from 1 species